rnacentral:lncRNA from 1 species
CAACCUUUAUUCUGUUUGAAGAUCUAAUACAAUGCAUUAAAGCAACUUAAAACAAGACAUAGCUCCAUUGAAUCUAUAACUUGAACGAAAUGUCAAGGAGGCACACUACCCCCACCCCCCACCCCAGUUGCCUUGUGAAGGCAAAGUUACAACUGACCGUGACAUCCUCCCUCUCGUCAAAAGACCAACUUUAUUUUAACAAUGUCAUAUAAACAGAUUUUUAAAAACAUUGAACAGAUUGUAGCUUUAAAAAAUACACAGGUAUAAAUGAGUUUUUUUUUGUUUUGAUUUUUUUAAAUACAUAUAUAUAUGUGCAUAUAUAUACAUAUAUGUAUAUACAUAUAUAUAUACACAUAUAUAUAUAUAUACACACACAUAUAUAUAUAUAUAUAUAUAUAUAUAUAUAUAUAUACACACACACACACACACACACACAUAUAUAUAUAUAUAUAUAUAUAUAGCAGCAUCCUGGGCAGCUAAUGCUAUCUCAUGGUGACAAGUUUCAUGUUAAGUUGGAUAGUCUUUCCAAUUGACUCAAUUCUAUUUCCUCCCCACCCAUAAUACCAGUAUUUUAUAGAACUAGCUUUUUAAAAAAUAAGAAUUUGGCAUUUUGGAACUUUGUCCCAUGUGAGACAUUGUGCUUUAAACUGCCCCUUUCUAAAAAUGACCCUAAACUCAAACAGAUCUCAGUGUCUGCGUUUCAACUAACUUGGAUACCAUACAUAGCAAAAGCACAGUUGUUAAAACCAGCAGAUUUUUUCUUCCAAAGGAACAUCAGUAGGACUUCCCAAACAUGUUACUAGUUCAUAACCAGCUAUAUGACAAAGCAAUUGGUUCCCCACAGUGACAGCUCACAUAAACACAUUUUGACUCGACACACUGAAAACAAGGAUUUCCAAGCUAAGCAAGUCAUCAGACCAGCUCCCUAAAAGGAGUAACUUUUAAAAACACAAAAAAGCCAAAGAAAUAUGAACUUCUCACUUCACUUACAAACAAUUUUCACCUUUGUAAGACAAAACAAAGCAACCUCAAAGGGAAAAAUCCCAUACACAUAAGUAAGAAUUGUACUAGACGUUCGCUUGUUAUGUACUUUAUGUACUUGAACUCAACAACUACUGUGGAUCUGUUUUGGCUGAAAGGUGUACUGGAAACACAGUCCAUGCACAUAUACAUAUAUACAUUUAUCAAAGGCCAUGAAGUUAUCAGAUGUUGCAAACACAUGCUUUUUGCCUUUUCACAUGGUUAUGAUCUCUCGUGUGUGUAAUGUGAGGUCCCAAUGCUCCCACUUCUACGCCCAAUCACAGCCUCACUGCAGCUUAGCUUCUGGCUUUAUCUUUAGGAUGCUACACUGGGUGGGAAAAACUGACGCAUGGAUAAAAAUCAUAUAUCAGGAGUGCCUCUGCUGUAUCUAUUCAUAUUCAGCCGUUCAGACAAUAUUGUUAGGACUGUCUGAUGAAAUCCAAAGUGGCCGGCUAGCAAAGUAUCUAAAACGACAAAUGCGGUGGGCAAGCUACACUGUAAUCAAAAAGGCAUUGGGCAGAACAGGUCUGGUGUAACUCAAGUCAUAUGGAAUGAUGAAUCCUACUUUGCUGUUCAAUGAAAAGAUCUAUUGCACUUAUGUUUGUGAGAUGCAAAAAUAAGGCAAAUGCCUAAAUACCGUAUCAUCUUGCAAAGAAUGUUGAAGCACAAAGAUUCACAAAACUGUAGCUUUUAAUGAAAAUAUUCAAUCUCAGAU